UACGUAGGGUGCGAGCGUUAAUCGGAAUUACUGGGCGUAAAGCGUGCGCAGGCGGUUUUGUAAGACAGAUGUGAAAUCCCCGGGCUCAACCUGGGAACUGCGUUUGUGACUGCAAGACUUGAGUGCGGCAGAGGGGGGGUAGAAUUCCACGUGUAGCAGUGAAAUGCGUAGAGAUGUGGAGGAAUACCGAUGGCGAAGGCAGCCCCCUGGGUCGACACUGACGCUCAUGCACGAAAGCGUGGG
rnacentral:rRNA from 1 species